AAGACCUUGCGCUUUUGGAGCGGCCGAUGCCUGAUUAGCUUGUUGGUAAGGUAGAAGCUUACCAAGGCUUCGAUCAGUAGCUGGUCUGAGAGGACGACCAGCCACACUGGGACUGAGACACGGCCCAGAMUCYUACGGGAGGCAGCAGUGGGGAAUUUUGGACAAUGGGGGCAACCCUGAUCCAGCCAUGCCGCGUGAGUGAAGAAGGCCUUCGGGUUGUAAAGCUCUUUCAGCCGGAACGAAACGGUUACGGAUAACACCCGUGACUACUGACGGUACCGGAAGAAGAAGCACCGGCUAACUACGUGCCAGCAGCCGCGGUAAUACGUAGGGUGCGAGCGUUAAUCGGAAUUACUGGGCGUAAAGCGUGCGCAGGUGGUUUUGUAAGUCAGAUGUGAAAGCCCCGGGCUCAACCUGGGAACU
rnacentral:rRNA from 1 species